AUUGAACGCUGGCGGCAGGCCUAACACAUGCAAGUCGAACGGUAGCACAGAGAGCUUGCUCUCGGGUGACGAGUGGCGGACGGGUGAGUAACGUCUGGGAAACUGCCCGAUGGAGGGGGAUAACUACUGGAAACGGUAGCUAAUACCGCAUAACGUCGCAAGACCAAAGUGGGGGACCUUCGGGCCUCACACCAUCGAAUGUGCCCAGAUGGGAUUAGCUAGUAGGUGGGGUAAUGGCUCACCUAGGCGACGAUCCCUAGCUGGUCUGAGAGGAUGGCCAGCCACACGGGAACUGAGACACGGUCCAGACUCCUACGGGAGGCAGCAGUGGGGAAUAUUGCACAAUGGGCGCAAGCCUGAUGCAGCCAUGCCGCGUGUAUGAAGAAGGCCUUCGGGUUGUAAAGUACUUUCAGCGGGGAGGAAGGCGGUGAAGUUAAUAGCUUCACCGAUUGACGUUACCCGCAGAAGAAGCACCGGCUAACUCUGUGCCAGCCGCCGCAGUAA
rnacentral:rRNA from 1 species